rnacentral:rRNA from 1 species
AUUGAACGCUGGCGGCAGGCCUAACACAUGCAAGUCGAACGGUAACAGGAAGAAGCUUGCUUCUUUGCUGACGAGUGGCGGACGGGUGAGUAAUGUCUGGGAAACUGCCUGAUGGAGGGGGAUAACUACUGGAAACGGUAGCUAAUACCGCAUAACGUCGCAAGACCAAAGAGGGGGACCUUCGGGCCUCUUGCCAUCGGAUGUGCCCAGAUGGGAUUAGCUAGUAGGUGGGGUAACGGCUCACCUAGGCGACGAUCCCUAGCUGGUAUGAGAGGAUGACCAGCCACACUGGAACUGAGACACGGUCCAGACUCCUACGGGAGGCAGCAGUGGGGAAUAUUGCACAAUGGGCGCAAGCCUGAUGCAGCCAUGCCGCGUGUAUGAAGAAGGCCUUCGGGUUGUAAAGUACUUUCAGCGGGGAGGAAGGGAGUAAAGUUAAUACCUUUGCUCAUUGACGUUACCCGCAGAAGAAGCACCGGCUAACUCCGUG